UACAGGGGGGGCAAGCGUUGUUCGGAAUUACUGGGCGUAAAGGGCCAGUAGGCGGCCAACUAAGUCACACGUGAAAUCCCCAGGCUUAACCUGGGAACUGCGUGUGAUACUGGAUGGCUUGAAUUCGGGAGAGGGAUGCAGAAUUCCAGGUGUAGCGGUGAAAUGCGUAGAUAUCAGGAGGAACACCAACGGCGAAGGCAGCUCUCUGGGACGUUACUGACGCUGAGACGCGAAAGCGUGGGGAGCAAACAGG
rnacentral:rRNA from 1 species